GGAAAAGGGCUGUGCCAUUCUGUUUCUGCUCCCAGCCCAGUGCCUGACACAGAGCUCACAGUCUGGAGAUACCGGCUGAACGAAUGGGGAAAACUGUCUGUGGGGCUGAAGGACACAUCCAAACAGCAUCCUCAGAGCUGGCAGCUCAAUAUGAAAGGAGCCAUGGCUGCCACCAACUCCAGGCACUCACAGUGGCCAAUGAUGGUCUGGCCUGGUCCAUGAGGCAGGAGGCUUAGGGCUUCCCAGAGGAUAGGGAAUGCCCUUUGCAGGUUCCCACUGUGUACCACACACCAUACCAACUGGUCAAUCUCGGAUAUUCCAUGUGGUCCUCACAAGCCCAGAAGCAGUCACUAUGCACUGUCAGCCUCAUUCUCAUUUUGCAGGGAAGCUGUGUGAUGUACCUGUCUUUCUGGGCCUGAGGAGACCUGAGUGUUCAAG
rnacentral:lncRNA from 13 species